GUAGGUGGCGAGCGUUGUCCGGAUUUACUGGGCGUAAAGAGCGCGCAGGCGGUCGUGCAAGUCGCGUGUGAAAGCCCCCGGCUCAACUGGGGAGGGUCACGCGAUACUGCUCGACUCGAAGGCAGGAGAGGGAAGUGGAAUUCCCGGUGUAGUGGUGAAAUGCGUAGAUAUCGGGAGGAACACCAGUGGCGAAGGCGACUUCCUGGCCUGUUCUUGACGCUGAGGCGCGAAAGCUAGGGUAGCAAACGGG
rnacentral:rRNA from 1 species